GAAUUUUGGACAAUGGGCGAAAGCCUGAUCCAGCAAUGCCGCGUGCAGGAUGAAGGCCUUCGGGUUGUAAACUGCUUUUGUACGGAACGAAAAGUCUCCGGAUAAUACCCUGGGACCAUGACGGUACCGUAAGAAUAAGCACCGGCUAACUACGUGCCAGCCGCCGCGGUAAUACGUAGGGUGCAAGCGUUAAUCGGAAUUACUGGGCGUAAAGCGUGCGCAGGCGGGUAUAUAAGACAGAUGUGAAAUCCCCGGGCUCAAUCUGGGAACCGCAUUUGUGACUGUAUAGCUAGAGUACGGUCGAGGGUGAUGGAAUUCCGCGUGUAGCAGUGAAAUGCGUAGAUAUAGGAAGGAACACCAGUGGCGAAGGCGACCACCUGGGCUCAUACUGACACUGAGGUGCGAAAGCGUGGGGAGCAAACAG
rnacentral:rRNA from 1 species